ACUUUGUGUUUCUCUUAGGAACAGUGGUUCCGUAUUCACGAAUUCAGUGUUAACAGUGACUUUAUAGAACAUACUACUGCAAAUAACAAGAAUCAACUGUACCUGGUUUUGAUUGAUAUAUUUGCUGGAGUAUCUCUUACUCUUUUGCCUACUGAAUUUGAUGUAUUUAUUUAGAUAAGCCCCUUUAUUCAUUCAACACAUUUUUACUAGGUGCUUCCUAUAUGCCAGGCCCUGUUGGGUAUUGGUGAUAAAACGGGGAGUAAAAAUAGCCACAGUCCCUGUCGUACAGGCUAGAGGAAAAGACAGGUUCCGAAUACAGAGGUCUAUGUCAAAUUAUAAAAAUGGGACAAUGCUUUAAAGGCAAAGCACAGGGCAUUAGGAGCCAGAGCGUGUAUCAGAGAGACCUGUCACUAUCUGAUGGUGGUAGGGCGUGAAGUUGAGCUAAGAUCUGAGGGAGGAAAAGCAGCGAGUUAGGCGUGGGGUAGAGGUGUGGGUGAGCUUCCCAGGCAGAGGCGGCAGCACAUGCACAGACUCUGUGGCAGGAGGGUCCAUGGCACCUCCAGGGAACUGAAAGCACGAGAGUGGCUGGGGCCUGGAGACUGAGGAGGGUCUGGAGUGGCUCCAAGUGUAAGCGGGGAACAGUCACACGGAAGCUUGCAAGAUCACUGACGACUCGGGUUUUAUCUAAACAGCCUAGUUACAGGACUCCAUAUGGUUCUGGAAAUACAAAUGUGAAAGGAACAGUCUUUGCUUUUUGGAGUCUACUGGAAGAGAUGGACAUACAAACUAACCUAACCUGACACACUAUUAGGGAAAGUUUCCAUAAGCUGCUGUGAGAGGAAGAAAAAAUACCAGGAAGAUUUUCCAAAGGAAGAGCCAUUGAAGGCUUGAAGGAAGAGUUGAGAUUGCCCAGACACAUGGGUCAACAUGUGUCAUAGAAGGCAGGCAUUAAAAACAUGGCAUAUUUGGAAGAGGGUCGUGAAUGAGUGGAGAAAGAUAAAAGUCUUGCAUCAGGAGGCUUUUUUAUUCCUCAGAGUCUGCAUUUUGGGAUGGAAAAUUGUGUUGGCUAUGCAAGGAGAGACACUAUGAAUGAGGUCUCAUUUGCUGGUGCCCCAAGAAGACUUGGGAAAUGAAGGGCAACAAAGCCAGAGCAAACUCAUGAAAUACACUUUGGCCUCAAGAAGAAAGCUUUUGAAAUCUGUGAAGUGUGAUUUCAGAUGUCAGCGUGCUUUGGGGGUUGGGAUGAGCAAGUUCCACUCCUCUCCUUUGGAAAGCUGGGCAGCGUUUGGAGAAAUCAUCAGUGUAUCAGAAAACACGCAUCUCUAUGAUCUAUCCUGAAUCCAAAUAGGAAAAAAUGAAAUGAGUGCUUUUCCCCCAUUCAGAAAUCUUUUUUAUUGCACCAUGAAGAAAUAAAUGUCUACCAAAGGGAAAUGAAGAGGAGCUAAGCGGAGAAUCUAAUUGCCCACUUCAAUCACUCCCACACAAAAUGCCUGGCUAAAGGAUGGGCAGGCAGAGCAGCAGCAUUUUGGCAAAAAUUUUAAAUAAAAAGGGAAAAAAUUGUUCCAGCAGGAGUUCUGUAGAAAAAUGGAGACAGCUGCUGCAUUUUCUCCAGCCCGCUAUCUCUUUCAGCCAGACCAAAGACAAUCCAGCUCUUGGCUUAAUUAAUCACUUGCUGGUUAUGAUUGUGGAGGAAAGUGGGGCUCACUAUUGCUCUCUUAGCCUAGGAGCAAAAUUUCCAAAGAGAAGUGGAAUGUGUAUCAAUGGAGGAAAAGAAACUCUUCCCAAGAGACCAGAAUGGGAUUCUUUCUAGUGUUUCCUCCUCAGUGGCUUUCACUUUCAUUUUAAGGCAAGUUUGCACAGAGCCCAUUCUCCAUUCAGUCCAACCUCUAAGCACCCACAUAAACUCAAACUCAGAUUAACAAUACUAUCUCUUUUUUUUUGAGGAAGAUUAGCCCUGAGCUAACAUCUGCUGCCAAUCCUCCUCUUUUUGCUGAGGAAGACUGGCCCUGAGCUAACAUCCAUGCCCAUCUUGCUCUACUUUAUAUGUAGGACGCCUACCAUAGUGUGGCUUGCCAAGCAGUGCCAUGUCCACACCCAGGAUCUGAAACAGCGAACCCCAGACUGCCAAAGCGGAAUGUGCAAACUUAACCUUUGCGCCACCAGGCCGGCCCCUGAUGAAACUGUCUUAAAGUUGUGUCCUAAUCUCUCUUUAAAAUUUCCAAUUCCUCAUUCAAAGAGUUGAUGAGAUUCUCUCUCCUCCAUGAGGUCCUCCUUGAUUAAUUCAGACACCCACAUGAUCUGAACACCUCAGGGCCAGGGUAAACUCAGCCUGAGGAAGAAUCAUGGGACCUCAUGGAGAUCAAUCCUGAGAGUUGAAAGCACAAGGAUAGAGCCAGUCAGAGGCAAGGAAGCCAGAGGUCAGUUUUGAAAAGCAGCCCAGAGUCAGACUUGAAUGCAAUAUAAGGGCUAUAGUUAGGACACAAGGCUGUGACUAAGAACUUGGAACUACACAAUUAAAUCAGGAACCUAGGUUUAAUGCUAAGAGGGCCAGGUCAGGAUAUUGACCUUGAAAGAGAUGAACUCCGCGGGGUCCACCCUGGUUGCUGGCACAGUGUUGUGGAAUGAGAGGGUUGGAGCCCAUGAGGUUCUUGAACACCUCUUCUUGCACAGAGUACUAAUUAAUGCAUUUUUCUGCUUUCUUAUGUAACCCUAAUAAACCAGGGGUUUGUUUCCUUAAGGAGGCCAAGUUGGAGAAGCUCAAUUGCUGUCAAAAUAUAAAUAAAAAAGAAAUCCAUUUUUAACCUGCAUCUUUUAAAGAACUUUCAAGGGGAUCUGAUUCUACACUGGCUUCUUCUCUUCAAUUCUCGCGCGCCCUGCAGCCUUUCCCAUAAUAAACUGCAAACCUUCCCUGCUGCUCAGUCCAAGAGGGUUUCUUCCUCCUGCCCCACCCUGCCUGAGCCCUUUAUCAGGUAGAUCAGGAAACCUCUCGCUUUGCCUUACAGGUUCCUUCUCAAUCUGUUCAGUCCCUCUCAUCCCCUUCUCUAGAUUCUAUAUCGGAAAGAUCCGGGGCCUGGCCCAGCCCAGCCUGUUGGCAGGCAGGGGGCUGAGGAGGAAGGCAGCACACAGUGGCUCAGUGUUCAGCCUCAGCUCCGCCUUAGGUUUUUGUCUUUUGUGUUCACCCACGUGGAUCCUCUAGUUUUUGAUGAGUCCUGUAAAGUAGUCUGUCCCAUCCCUGGCCCUUUCCACGUUUAAAUUUCUAGAGGAUAAGGUGUAAAGUAUUAGGCACUUUUGAAUAAUUUAUA
ensembl:lncRNA